rnacentral:lncRNA from 1 species
UAUUUAUGUUGCUUAUGUUUUCAUGAGUACUUACAUUAUUAUUGCAGGAGUACCUAUGCUUUAUUAUUUUGUUUUGUUUUGCUUGUGUUUCUAAUAUUACCUUUGUUUUCGUAAUGCAGCUUUCCCUCUUUUUAUCCUACACGCCGAGGGUCGUUUGGAAACAGCCUCUUUGCCCUUACGGGCAGGGGUAAGGCUCGUCUACAUAUUAC